GACGAACCGAGCGAACGUUGUUCGGAAUUACUGGGCGUAAAGGGCGCGUAGGCGGCCUGUUAAGUCAAACGUGAAAUCCCCAGGCUCAACCUGGGAACUGCGUCUGAUACUGGAUGGCUUGAAUCCGGGAGAGGGAUGCAGAAUUCCAGGUGUAGCGGUGAAAUGCGUAGAUAUCUGGAGGAAUACCGGUGGCGAAGGCGGCAUCCUGGACCGGCAUUGACGCUGAGGAGCGAAAGCUAGGGGAGCAAACGGG
rnacentral:rRNA from 1 species